GGCCCUGUAGCUUAGCUUGGCUUGAGCACCCGACUGAUAAUCGGGAGGUCCGGAGUUCAAAUCUCCGCGGGGCCA
rnacentral:tRNA from 1 species